AUACGGAGGGUGCAAGCGUUAAUCGGAAUUACUGGGCGUAAAGCGUGCGUAGGCGGUUAGACAAGUUAGAUGUGAAAGCCCAGGGCUUAACCUUGGAACUGCAUUUAAAACUGCCUAACUAGAGUUUAAGAGAGGAUAGUGGAAUUCCGGGUGUAGCGGUGAAAUGCGUAGAUAUCCGGAGGAACACCAGUGGCGAAGGCGGCUAUCUGGCUUAAAACUGACGCUGAGGUACGAAAGCGUGGGGAGCGAACAGGAUUAGAUACCCCGGUAGUCC
rnacentral:rRNA from 1 species